rnacentral:lncRNA from 12 species
AUGAUGGAUGUUGUGGUUAUUUUAGGGAAAAUCAUGUCCCAAAUGUUGAGGUUAAGUCAGCCACCCCUUUUCCUCCAGAAAAGAAAAAAAAAAAAAAGAAGAAGAAGAAGAAGAAGAAGUUUCCGAUGCAAAUGGUUUGAAUUAAUGCCACGGAUAUUUAUAACAACAGUCUGGUUAAGGGAACUUAUUUGCUAUUCAUCAAGCGAAUGUCCCCUAGGAUUAGAGGAGCCCAAAGAAAAUAUUUUUAAAAUAAUUUUUUUAAUUAAAAAGAAAGAGAUUCUGGAAGUUUCUGGCCCUCCAAAUAAGCCUAUCAUUCCCUAAAGUAAAAGCUAUCUACCACUAGUCAUAAAAUAAAACAGAAAGUUGUGUGCUCA